rnacentral:rRNA from 1 species
GUGCUAUACAUGCAGUCGAGCGGACUUUUGGAACUUGCUUUUAAGAGUCAGCGGCGGACGGGUGAGUAACACGUGGGCAACCUGCCUGUAAGACUGGGAUAACUUCGGGAAACCGGAGCUAAUACCGGAUACGUUCUUUUCUCGCAUGAGAGAAGAUGGAAAGAUGGUUUCGGCUAUCACUUACAGAUGGGCCCGCGGCGCAWUAGCUAGUUGGUGGGGUAAUGGCCCACCAAGGCGACGAUGCGUAGCCGACCUGAGAGGGUGAUCGGCCACACUGGGACUGAGACACGGCCCAGAYUCCUACGGGAGGCAGCAGUAGGGAAUCUUCCGCAAUGGACGAAAGUCUGACGGAGCAACGCCGCGUGAACGAUGAAGGCUUUCGGGUCGUAAAGUUCUGUUGUUAGGGAAGAACAAGUACCAGAGUAACUGCUGGUACCUUGACGGUACCUAACCAGAAAGCCACGGCUAACUACGUGCCAGCAGCCGCGGUAAUACGUAGGUGGCAAGCGUUGUCCGGAAUUAUUGGGCGUAAAGCGCGCGCAGGUGGUUCUUUAAGUCUGAUGUGAAAGCCCACGGCUCAACCGUGGAGGGUCAUUGGAAACUGGGGAACUUGAGUGCAGAAGAGGAAAGUGGAAUUCCACGUGUAGCGGUGAAAUGCGUAGAGAUGUGGAGGAACACCAGUGGCGAAGGCGACUUUCUGGUCUGUAACUGACACUGAGGCGCGAAAGCGUGGGGAGCGAACAGGAUUAGAUACCCUGGUAGUCCACGCCGUAAACGAUGAGUGCUAAGUGUUAGAGGGUUUCCGCCCUUUAGUGCUGCAGCUAACGCAUUAAGCACUCCGCCUGGGGAGUACGGCCGCAAGGCUGAAACUCAAAGGAAUUGACGGGGGCCCGCACAAGCGGUGGAGCAUGUGGUUUAAUUCGAAGCAACGCGAAGAACCUUACCAGGUCUUGACAUCCUCUGACAACCCUAGAGAUAGGGCUUUCCCCUUCGGGGGACAGAGUGACAGGUGGUGCAUGGUUGUCGUCAGCUCGUGUCGUGAGAUGUUGGGUUAAGUCCCGCAACGAGCGCAACCCUUGAUCUUAGUUGCCAGCAUUCAGUUGGGCACUCUAAGGUGACUGCCGGUGACAAACCGGAGGAAGGUGGGGAUGACGUCAAAUCAUCAKGCCCCUUAUGACCUGGGCUACACACGUGCUACAAUGGAUGGUACAAAGAGCCCGCAAACCCGCGAGGGYAAGCUAAUCUCAUAAAGCCAUUCUCAGUUCGGAUUGCAGGCUGCAACUCGCCUGCAUGAAGCCGGAAUCGCUAGUAAUCGCGGAUCAGCAUGCCGCGGUGAAUACGUUCCCGGGCCUUGUACACACCGCCCGUCACACCACGAGAGUUUGUAACACCCGAAGUCGGUGAGGUAACCUUUGGAGCCAGCCGC